rnacentral:lncRNA from 1 species
UGACACGUUUUAACAUCGUGGUGCGUCGGCCGGGAAGCCGACACCGAGCUGGCCCUGGUACACCGCUGUGGGGACCGGAGAACGCCGCGCCGCCUGCCUGGUGACCGCCUAGACCCCGCUGGGCCACUCGCCGGAGCCGCACUCCCAGUGGAGCCGCGCUGGCCCCGGCUCUCACCGCUUCCGAACGGACUCAGGAGAAGGAAAGCAGAUUCCAGGACGGGACAUCAGGCCGGUGAGUUCCCGGGAGCAUCGGCCCGAGUCAGGACCCGCCAUCCAGCGGAAGGGGAAGCCCACGAAUUCCCAGUGACCGGAGGGUCACUCAGUAUAGAGCCUGCUACUGACUGUCCGUCCUGAAUUGCGCGUGGGAGUGACUGUAGCGAGGGACAGCCACCGUCUUUGGACCAGAGUCCAAAUGAGUCCACCUGGAGGGCUCCGUGGUGACCUUGAGGCUUAAGGCAGUGCCAAUCCCUGGGGGAUCAGGAGUCCCUCCCUGCGAGGGACAGGGGUCAGUGCAAAGAGGCACCUGUAUCUCUGCAAAGAGAGCCACCUGGCACCAGGCACUGAAGUGUGUUCCCGAGGAACUCUCACACAAUGGGCUGCUCGGCUUCCAAACCCACUACUGUCUUAGAAUGUAUGGUUAAGAACUUUAAGAAGGGAUUCUCUGGAGAUUAUGGUGUAAAACUGAGCUCUGGGAAACUGCGCACUCUUUGUACUCUAGAAUGGCCCUCCUUUGGGGUGGGGUGGCCCUCAGAUGGGACAUUAGAUGUGACCAUUGUACAAGCUGUAUAUAAAGUAGUAACAGGAGACCCUGGCCAUCCAGAUCAGUUCCCAUAUAUCGAUCAAUGGUUGGAAAUUGCCCAGCUGAGGCCAACCUGGGUUCGGUUCUGCCGCUCAGGAGAGGAACAAUACAGGAUCCUAGUAGCUCAAUCAAGGGAAAAGACCACACACCAAGAGAAAGAGCCACCUAUUUCCCUAGGGGAAGCUGAGAAUCCACCCUCUAUGUCCCCAGCUAAUGUGCUAACUGUUUCCCUAUUGGGGGCAGGAGGCCCACAUUUGCCAGACAGCCCACCGCCCCUUGUCUCACCCCCUCCCCAAGAUCCUGAGGCCACUGUGCCCCCACUGCCCAGUUCACCUGAACCAAUGAGCAGGCAGCUCCAAUCAGCACAGGAAGCAGCAGCCCCAGUGCUGCAGAUGCUCUCACCAGAGGGCAGAGACCCACAGCACAUUGCUGCCGAGGGGACCUUCCAUGGAGGGGGACCUGUUUGUCACUACCAACCUUUUUCCUCAACGGAUCUCCUCAACUGGAAACUUCACACCCCCUCAUACUCUGAAAAGCCCCAAGCGCUGAUCAAUCUCUUGGAGUCUAUUUUCCACACCUCCCGUCCCACCUGGGAGGACUGUCAGCAACUUCUCCUCACCCUGUUCAACACGGAGGAACGGCGAUGGAUCGAAACCGAGGCUCAGAAGUGGCUCCAAACUGUUGCCCCAGAGGGUCAGCUAGAUGUGGAAAACUGGGCGUGGGGGGCCUUCCCGGAGAAAGAACCCCCUUGGGACCCCAACACAGAGUGGGGAAGGAGCCAGUUGGAGAGGUAUUGGCAGGCACUCCUACAAGGAGUAAAAGCUGGAGCUAAGAAACCCACUGAUAUGGCAGGGACCACAGGGGAGCUGCAAGGACCAGAUGAGAGCCUGGCCAGCUUUUAUGGGAGGCUAUGUGAAGCCUUUCGGGUGGACACCUGCCUUGACCCUGACUCCCCUGAGAACCAGAAACUUUGCAGUCGCGACCAGAUAGCUCGCCAAGAUGCAGAGAAAAGGAUGAAACAAGAAGCUCAGCUCCUAGCUGAUGUCCGGACAAAGUCUACACGCCAAGUGGGACCGCCCCGAAUGCCAAGGGGUCCCCCACCAGGAAAGAGGAAGUCCCUCCGUCGAGAUCAGUGUGCAUAUUGCAAGGAAAGGGGACACUGGAAAAGUGAAUGUCCCCACCUCCUCAAGAAGAGAACCAAAGCUGCAGGCCCACCAGGGCACUAUCAACCGCACCCACCCGGCACAAACCUGACCAGCCCAGCUGGGGCAAGGCCCCACCAGGGAGAACCUGGCUCUCUCCAGUUGGAGCCUCUGGUCAGAAUCCGAGUAGGGGGCCAACCAAAGGACUUUAUGGUAGAUAGUAGCACUGAACAUUCAGUGGUCACUCAACAACUAGCCCCUUUCUCUGGAAAGGAAAUCACUGACAUCAGGGCCACAGGCACUCAGACCCAUAGGCCCUUCUAUGGCCCCCAACAGUGCCAGUUAGGAGCGCAUGAAUUUCCUUACCCACCUGACUGCCCUGCUCCCUUGACGGGGAACCAAAUUUCCUUCUCUGCUGAUGGGUCAUCCCAGCUACAAUCAGCAGGAUGGCCCUCCUCUUUGACUAUGACCCCUGCCAAAGAGAGCAUCAUUCUUACUGAAUUAGAGGCUGAAUAUCCACUAGUGUGGGCCGAGGGGAACCCCCCAGGCCUAGCCAAAAACCACUCUCCCAUUGUGAUUGACCUAAAACCAGGAGCUAGGCCUGUGAAGUUACCACCGUACUGCAUUCCCCCGGAGGCCCUGCUAGGAAUCCAGACUCAUGUGGACAGAUGGCGUCAACAUGGAAUUUUGGUUAAAUGUCAGUCUCCCUGGAAUGCUCCAUUGAAGCUUAUAAAGAAACCAGGGACCCAGGAGUACCGUCCAGUUCUAGUCCUAAAAGCCAUAAAUAAGGUAGUAGUUCCAUUACCCUCGGCAGUGCCAAAACAGUUCGCCUUGCUUAGCCGGAUCCCCUCUACUGCCGCGUGGUUUACUUACCUGGACUUAAAGGAUGCUGCCUUUUGCCUCCGGGUUGCACCUGUCAGUCAGCCACUGUUUGCCUUCCAGUGGGAAAACCCACACACAGGAACUAAGGAACAGCUCACUUGGACAAGACUCCCUCAGGGGUUCAAGAACACCCAUACACUCUUAAGCAGAGCCUUAGCUGAUGACUUGGCUGGAUUCCCUGCACAGGAACUAAAUUGUGUCUUGUUACAGUAUGUGGAUGACCUUCUGCUGGCCAGCUCAACGCAGGCCCAAUGCCUAGAAGGAACAAAGGCCCUCCUUUCCCUACUAACAGAGGCUGGGUAUCGAGUAUCAAAGAAAAAGGCACAGAUCUGCCAGAGGCAGGUGAGAUACCUAGGCAUCGAUAUCACGCAGGGACAGCAAAUGCUGGGGAUUGAAAGGAAACGUGAAAUUUGCGCCAUCCCCACCCCCACCACUCGUGGGGAAUUCCAAGAAUUCCUAGGAAAGAUAGAGUUCUGCAGAAGGUGGAUUCCUGGAUUCUCAGACCUGGCCAGACCCCUGUAUGAGAGUCUAAAAGGACAAAAGAAGGCUCCCCUUAAGUGGGGAACAAGCCAGAAAGUGGCCUUUCAAACAAUCAAGGACAAAAUCUCUGAGGCCCCAGCCCUAGGGCUUCCCGAUGUAACCAGGGGUUUCAACCUCUUUGUUCAUGAGAAGAACGGAACUGCCUUGGGGGUCCUGACCCAAGAAUUUGGACCUCUGCAGAGGCCAGUGGCAUAUCUGUCUAAAAACAUUAACUCUGUUGCAGCCAAGUGGCCACCCUGCCUCAGAGCUCUGGAUGCCACUGCCUUGCUGGUGGAGGAGGCUAAGAAGCUAACACUGGGACAAGGCCUGGAGGUUAAGGUCCCGCACUCGUUCAUCACCUUGAUGAACAGCAGAGCUCAUCACUGGCUCACGCCUGCUCAGAUGGCUCGCUAUCGAGGGUUACUCUGUGAAAGUCCGCAGGUAAAACUGGAAGUUGUAGGAGCUCUAAACCCAGUUACCUUCCUGCCAGAUGAAGGUGGGUCCCCAGCCCACAACUGUUUAGAAAUACUGGGUGACAUAUUUCCCAGCAAGUGACCGAAGAGCCACUCCGAAACCCAGCCCUGGUCCCUGUAUGCCGAUGAAGCAGUUUCAUGGUAGAUGGCCAGAGUACGGCCAGAUAUGCUGUGGUGUCCCACUCUGGGGUGGUGGAAGCAGAGGCACCUCCCUGAGGGUGGUCAGCACAAAGCAGAAUUAUGAACACUGGAACUCAGCCAAGACCAGUGAGCCACCAUCUGUACCAGCCCACGGUAGGCCUUGGAUGCUGUACGUGUCCACGCAGCCUCAUACAAGGAAACAGGACUGCUCACUGCAGAAGGAAAAAGGACCAAGAACCAAGACAAAAUCUUAAAACUUCUGGAAGCAGUUUGAGAGCCAAAGGAGGUAGCAGUUGUCCACUUCAAAGGCUACCAUAGAGGUACCACAGGGUGGCCAAAGGGAACCGCCAUGCUGCUGUGCUGCCUAUAAGGCUGUCCAGAGGCAGCUCUCAGACAACCCAAAUGCCUGCUAGUCCCAGAGAUGCUGGCUGUGCCCAGGUCCUCUCCUGAGGAAGAAUGGAUACAAAAGAAGGGGAGACCAAGGCAGAGACAGGUUGGCAUCUCACCCAACUCUCCUGACUUCAUGUUCCAGAACAGGCAGCUUAUAGACUGGCCUGCCAGCCGUAGGAGCCAAGUAGCCGGGCAGAGCUGUCCUGAGACCUGGCCAGGCCAGGGGGCCUUGCUGCUCAUCCGCCUGCCCUCUGCUCCUGUCUCCCAGUGUCGUGUGGCCUGCUUACAAAACAAACAGUGCUUGCCAGGGACCUGGUAUACUGGCGGAACACAGCACUGUGGACUGUCCCUGUUUAAAGAUAUGGAAGUGGACCUCACUGACAUCACCUUGAGCGCAGGAUACAAAUACUUACUCGUUUUUGUCUGCACCUUCUUAGGAUGCGUAGGAGCCUUUCCAACCCAUACUGACAAGGCAAGGGAAGUGACCAAAGCUCUCCUGAGAGACAUUACUCCCAGACGCGGGAUGCCUCCCGCCAUGGGCUCAGACCAGGCACCAGUGGCUGUGGCUGUGGCAGUGCGGCAGGAGGCAAGGGCCGUAAAACUUCAGUGGCAACUGCCUUCUGCCUGUCACCCUCAGAGCUCAGGGAAAGUAGAGCGUGUGAGCCAAACCCUCAAACACGAGGUCAACUACAUCAGGAGCCUGUCUGUCCUGGGGAGGCAUGCUGACUGUCACCCUCUUAAAAGUGAGAUGGUCGCCCCAGGCAGGCAUAGGAUUUUUACCAUUUGAAAUCCUGUAUGGGUGUCCACCCUGAUGGUCAGCUUAAAGGGAGACACCAAAGAAUUAGGAGACUUAGAUUUACCUAAGCAGCUACAAGGACUGGGGCCCUCCAUCUCACAGGUUCAUCAGUGGAUCACAGAGAGAAAGUCCAUAUCUUGGGCAUGACUGCUCACCCCUACAAACCUGGGGACCAGGUUUAGAUAAGACUGGAAAAAGGAUCCCUUAAAACCAAUGUGGAGAUGGCCCCACACUGUAACAUCAACCACCCCAGUGCUCUCAAAGCGGCUCUGGAUCCACCACUCAAAGCCAAACCCACUGGCGUGACUGAGGAUUGAGAGGAAUGGAGGACAGUCCUUAAUUCGGAGAGACCGCUGUGCCUGACACUGCAAAGAAGACAACGAUCUCAAGGCUCUGCUCUUGCCAUGCUGGAAGCUGGUCAGUGAUCUCAAGGCUGAACGUGGGGAGUCGACCACCUGCUCAAAAAAAAACUGCUUUAUUCUCUGCAGAUGUCUCCUCACUGUUGCAUCCUGCUGCCUCUUCUCAGUGUGUGUGCUUACUGCUGUUCCUUGUUGUUAAUAACCUGGUCCCCCACAGUCCUGCCAGAUUCCACUGUUAUGGUCUGAGUCUAAUCAAUAUAGAUUAUAGGUUAUAGGUAUAAGAUAUUGGUAAGUAGAAUAAGUAAGAUAAGAUAAAUAGGAUGAUAAAAAUAAGUACUAUGUGAUGAGAAAUGUUAAACUGCCCUGGUGAUAAGUUAGAAGGAAGCAUAGAACAUAAUAGGUUCAUCAGGAGUAAGCGUAAGUAGUAGCAGGAUAGCCCUGUAACUGUAAGACAUAGGAUUUAAGCUGUAGGAAAUAAGAUGUAGAGCAGAGUAAGGUGAUAAGUAUGAGUCAGUAGGCCAAUAUAGUUCUAAAUAAAUAUAGGCUAAUAGGUUAAACUAGGCAAAAAUAAGGUUAAAUCAAUAUAGCCAUGAGCAAAUACAGGCUCAUGGCUAUAUUGAUUUAACAUGCCUCCCCAGGACAGACAGGCUCCUGAUGUAGUGGUAUAAUCAUAGUGACUCCAUUUUUAUAAUCCCCCUGUGAACUUGUCAUAUCUGCUGUUUUUAAGGUGUUAAAAAAGUUUGUGUUUCUGUAUUCGCACGCAGGAUGUGGUUUUCUGGUUUUGCUCUGCUAACUGCUUUCUUAGUCCUUGUGUCCUGCUUGCUUGCAACUUGCAGAUUCCAUAGGAUGUGGUUUUCUUCGUUAAAUACACUGGUCAGAGACAGUUUGAGGCUGUUCUCCCAUAGGAUCACUUGGACCUAUGUGAGGAAUAGGUCUCAGGCCAGACAAUAAAGACUCUCAAAUUUGCUUUAAAUCUGGACUGGAGUGUUUUUUGAGCGGUUGACCGAUAUCACCAUCUCUCAUGUGACCCAUGUAUCCAAGCACGGAGGUCAGGUCAGACUAGGGAGUUUCAUGAACUUUGCUCUAUUCCACUCAUUUCUCC